UCGGAUGUGCGUCCAAGCAGCAAGUCUGUCGGCGAGUCAAAUGCUUGCCGGCUCAAGGACAAGCUGUGACGGGUAUGAACGAUUUAUCGUUCUAAGUGAGUGACGUCACACUGCCAAGAAAAGCUUCUAGUUAGAAUCAGACCGCCCGUACCGCAAACCGACACAGGUAGUCGGGUCGAGAAGACCAAGGUGAGCGAGAGAACUCUCGUUAAGGAACUCGGCAAAAUGACCCCGUAACCUCGGGAGAAGGGGUGCUGAUCGCAAGAUCAGCCGCAGUGAAUAGGCCCAGGCGACUGUUUAUCAAAAACACAGGUUUCUGCAAAAUCGUAAGAUGAAGUAUAGGGGCUGACGCCUGCCCGGUGCUGGAAGGUUAAGAGGAUGGGUUAGCGUAAGCGAAGCUCAGAAUUGAAGCCCCAGUAAACGGCGGCCGUAACAAUAACGGUCCUAAGGUAGCGAAAUUCCUUGUCGGGUAAGUUCCGACCCGCACGAAAGGCGUAACGAUCUGGGCACUGUCUCAACGAGAGACUCGGUGAAAUUAUAAUACCCGUGAAGAUGCGGGUUACCCGCGACAGGACGGAAAGACCCCAUGGAGCUUUACUGUAGCUUGAUAUUGGGUGUUUGUACAACUUGUACAGGAUAGGUAGGAGCCGUAGAAGUCGGGACGCUAGUUUCGACGGAGGCAUCGGUGGGAUACUACCCUCGUUGUAUGAACACUCUAACCCACGCCGGCAAUCACGGCGGGAGACAGUGUCAGGUGGGCAGUUUGACUGGGGCGGUCGCCUCCUAAAAGGUAACGGAGGCGCCCAAAGGUUCCCUCAGAAUGGUUGGAAAUCAUUCGCAGAGUGUAAAGGCAUAAGGGAGCUUGACUGCGAGACCUACAAGUCGAGCAGGGACGAAAGUCGGGCUUAGUGAUCCGGUGGUUCCGCAUGGAAGGGCCAUCGCUCAACGGAUAAAAGCUACCCUGGGGAUAACAGGCUUAUCUCCCCCAAGAGUCCACAUCGACGGGGAGGUUUGGCACCUCGAUGUCGGCUCAUCGCAUCCUGGGGCUGUAGUCGGUCCCAAGGGUUGGGCUGUUCGCCCAUUAAAGCGGUACGCGAGCUGGGUUCAGAACGUCGUGAGACAGUUCGGUCCCUAUCCGUCGCGGGCGCAGGAAAUUUGAGAGGAUCUGUCCUUAGUACGAGAGGACCGGGAUGGACAUACCGCUGGUGUACCAGUUGUUCUGCCAAGGGCAUCGCUGGGUAGCUAUGUAUGGAUGAGAUAAACGCUGAAAGCAUCUAAGUGCGAAACUCACCUCGAGAUAAGAUUUCCCACUCCUUUAUGGAGUUAAGACCCCUGAGAGAUGAUCAGGUAGAUAGGAUGGAAGUGGAAGUGCGGCGACGCAUGGAGCGGACCAUUACUAAUCGGUCGAGGACUUAACCG
rnacentral:rRNA from 1 species